GCUCACAUGGCAGCAGAAACAUUGAUCACCUGGAUGGGAUGACAAUCCUCAGCAUUCUCAGACAGUUGCUUUUAUAAAGAAUGAAAUGUCUUCGUCUGGUGGAAACAGUGAUUGGAACACUAACAAAAUAUCAUUCUAAUGUGGCGGAGAUGGACAUUUUACUCUACUGGAAUUCACAACUUCUAUUAAAGGAGAAAAAAAAGAGGCGAGAGACAAUUUAGGACUACAUAUCCCAGCAUCCCUCUCCAUUGGCUUUGGUUGCUUAGGACUUCUGGGAGUUCCAUUCCAGCAACAUCUUGUGGAUCACACAAUUCCCAUCCCUGCAGAGCAUUUUAAGGACCUAACCAUUUGGAAUGCAAAGCUGUCUGCCCACUUACAGCUCAAAAGAAUCCAAUAACUAAAACCUCAGACCUCUCCUGUCUCUUGAACAUGAACAAAACUCAUCCCUCAAAAUCCUUUCGGAUGGAACGGUUUGUUCAGUUCUCCCACGGAACCAAAUCAGGACUUGAUUGCACCGCACACUGAAGCUCAGUUGCUGUUAAGUGGACCAUGCUGCCACAUAGUGGAAAUCCAGUGCAUCCUGUCUUCAGCACUCUGCAAUAUGUCUCACAUCUGUAAAGAUGAAAUAAUGAGGCUUGUUCAUUCCUCUAAUAAUUAACGGUGCAUUUGCACUCCACGUGGAUCACUGUUGAUGUUUACUGUUUCAUCAAGUAUGAUGGAUGCCUUGUGUUUGCAAAUUCAGAUUAGCAUAAUUUUUUAACCAAGGGACCCAUGAAAAGGUUCAAUUAUGAAGCAAUCUCAUUAAUACCGGGGCUUGUUAAACUAAUAGAAAGAGACAAGGCCCAACAGCUCUGAUAUGGAUAUGUGUGCUUCGAAUAUAAUUAAUGGAGGAGGAUUCCAGGGCCAAAACAGGCUGGCGUUCUGUGAAAUAUGACAUGCUGGAAUAAUCAGGUCAAUAAAUGCUAC